CACUCGACUGAUUGUUAUUUCCAUAAGCCAUCAUUCCAGUAUCUUGUAGAGAUAUACUUGCGGGACUGGGAGCCAAGAAAUCUGUGUCCUGGCCCCAGUGCUGCUUGGAGCCUGCGUUAAGUGAUGGAACAUUUAUGGAUCUCAGCUUUCUUAUGAAAACAAGAAGCCGACAGAAUGCUCUUUUCUCUAAAUUUCUAUUAUUUUCAACUGCAAGAGCGAGGAGAGCAAAAAUCUCUAGUCAUCUUUUAUUUGUAACUGGUUUUUAGUUAGGAAUUUGGAUCCUAGGAAGAGCCUCAAGAAACUGGAUAGACUCCUCUAGGACAUCUCACAGGAAUGAAUAACCUUGAAAACUUGAAAGUGGAUUCGACUACCUGGUGACACAGACCACAUGGAAAGGACAUCUUAGUCUGAUAGCCUCCAGCACCAUAAACUUGGAUAAGCCAUCUGACCUCUCCAGGACUUGGUUUAUUCAUUUGGGCCAAGUGACUCAUAAGGUCUGUGCCAGAUCUAAAAACAUCAUGGGUUUGUAUUAUUGGUGGGGAAUACUUUAAUAAAGCUCAGAUUGACAAAUGUUGCAAAGCUAUACUUUAAAUACAAAGACACGCCAUACUAUUAAUGAGUGAUUGGGCUGGGGGAUGCAAUUGAGGGAGGAAAUAUGAUGUGGAAGCUGUUUGGGGGAAGUGAAAUAAUCAGUUUGAAAAGGAGAUUUUUGUGUGGGUAGAUAACAAAAACCUUACAAUGGAUAUAAAGGUCAGGUUGUUGAAGGUCCUGAACUUUAAAAUAGGGGAUUUAGAUUUUGAUCUGUAGGUGACAGUAGUAGGACAAGAUACAGAGUGGGAUAAAGAGGACCGACAUAGAGACUUCCUAGCAGAGUAAUAGCAUUAAUAUUAACAAUGGCUAAAUUUUAUUAAGCACUUACUAUAUGCCCAGCAUAGAUCUACAUCCUCUACAUGUAUUAACUCAUUCAAAUAAUGGAAAUAAUAACUUUAGGAUGUUAGGUACUAUUAUUAAUGCUUUCGUUAAAAAAGGAAACUGAGGAAAAAGGAGAAUUUAUGCAACUUGCCUAAUCAAAAACACAAUAAUGUUUUAGAAAAAGACCUAAAAAAAGAUACGAUCCAGAAUGAUUUGGAAAGGAGCCAACAAAUAUGAAUUUAUAUUCAGAAAUUUGAGUUUUGGAAAAUAUUGAUUGCAUUAAGAGAAUAUAUGUACAUUUCAAGUGUGGUAAUCACUUAUAAUAAUUUUGCUUUUGAAGAGCAUGCACGGACUGUUUUAUAGUCAUGUUUGUGAGUUUAAGAGUACAUGUAUUAAAGAAAAAUAAAUUAAAACAAAAAAAUUAACCCAAUCCAAAACAGACUUGGUUGAUUUGGUCUCUGUGGAAAAGAAAAUAAAUAAUGGAUAAUGGAAAAUAGUGAAAUGUAUCAAACAUCGAAGAAACAAAUGACACCAAUUCUCUAAAAUUUGUUUCAGAAAACAGAAUCAGAGAGAACAUUUCCCAACUCAUUCUAUGAUGCCAGCCUUUACCUAAUACAGAAACCAGACAAAGACAUUACAAGAAAGGAAAACAAUAGACCACUAUGCCUCAUGAACACAGAUGAAAAAUAUUCUCAAUAAAAUAUUAGCAAAUUGAAUCCAACAAUACAUAAAACAAUUAUACCGUAUGACCCAGUGGGAUUCUUCUAGGUAUGCAAGGCAAGUUCAACAUUUGAAAAUCAGUUGAUGUAAUCUAUCAUGUCAAGAGACUAAAGAAAAAAAAAAUCGUAUCAACAGAUACAAAAAAAGAAUUUGACAAAAUCCAACAUCCAUUCAUGAUAAAAACUCUGACAAAACUAGCAAUAGGGGGUAACUGCUUCAAUUUCAUGAAGAAUAUCUACAAAAAUCUAUAACUAACAUCAUACCAGUGGUAAGAAGCUAGAAGCUUUCCCUCUAAGAUCUGAAACAAGGCAAAGAUGUCUCCUCUCAACAUUCCCUUUCAAUAUCAUACUGAAAGUUGUAGCUGAUAUAAGAAAAAGAUAAAAAAUAUACAGACUGGAAAAAAAGAAAUUAAAACUUUGUUUACAGAAUACGUGAUUGCCUAUGUAGAAAAUCCCAGAGAAUCAACCACAACGAAGAAAAUCCUGGAACUAAUAAGCAAUUACAGCAAUGUUGCAAGAUACAAGGUUGAUAUACAAGUCAACUGCAGUCUUACAUACAAGCAAUGAGCAAUAAGAAUUUGAAAUUGAGAACACAUCAUUCAUAUUAAUUUCAAAAAAUUUAAAUACCUACGUAUAGACCUAAUGAUAUAUGUACAAGGUCUAUAUGAGAUAAACUACAAAACUCUGAUGCAAGAGAUUUAAAAAGAUCAACAUAAAUGGAAACAUAUUUCAUGUUAAUGGAAAGAACAACUCAAUAUUGUUAAGAUGUCAAUUCUUCCCAACUUGACCAAUAAAUUUAACACAAUCCCAAUCUAAAUUCCAGCAUGUUAUUUUUGUGGAUAUUGACAAAAAGAUUCUAUAGUUUAUACAAAAGGCAAAAGAACCAGAAUAGCCAAAAUGAUACUGAAGAAGAGCAAAAUCAGAGAACUAAUGCCACUCAACUUCAAGACCUAUUAUAAAACUACAGAAAUCAAGAUAGUAUGGUAUUAGUGAAAGGACAGACAAAUGAAUCAAUGAAGCAGAAUAGAGAGCCCCGAAUUGAUUCACACAAAUAUAGUCAACUGAUCUUGGACAAAGAAGCAAGGGUAAUCUAAUGGUGAAAGUAUAAUUUCCUAAACAAAUGAUGCUAGAACUAGAC